rnacentral:rRNA from 1 species
GGGUUGUGAGGUUAAGCGACUAAGCGUACACGGUGGAUGCCCUGGCAGUCAGAGGCGAUGAAGGACGUGCUAAUCUGCGAUAAGCGCCGGUAAGGUGAUAUGAACCGUUAUAACCGGCGAUUUCCGAAUGGGGAAACCCAGUGUGAUUCGUCACACUAUCAUUAACUGAAUCCAUAGGUUAAUGAGGCGAACCGGGGGAACUGAAACAUCUAAGUACCCCGAGGAAAAGAAAUCAACCGAGAUUCCCCCAGUAGCGGCGAGCGAACGGGGAGGAGCCCAGAGCCUGAAUCAGCAUGUGUGUUAGUGGAAGCGUCUGGAAAGGCGCGCGAUACAGGGUGACAGCCCCGUACACAAAAGCGCAUGUGCUGUGAGCUCGAUGAGUAGGGCGGGACACGUGGUAUCCUGUCUGAAUAUGGGGGGACCAUCCUCCAAGGCUAAAUACUCCUGACUGACCGAUAGUGAACCAGUACCGUGAGGGAAAGGCGAAAAGAACCCCGGCGAGGGGAGUGAAAAAGAACCUGAAACCGUGUACGUACAAGCAGUGGGAGCCCCACCACCAAAGCAUUCUCUGGUGUUGAAGGCCCUGCAAAGCAGCAUCGCGGUGGCGGAGCGUCGUUUGCGACGCCCAACACACAAAACAAGCGGUGAAUGCUUUGGGGUGGGGUGACUGCGUACCUUUUGUAUAAUGGGUCAGCGACUUAUAUUCUGUAGCAAGGUUAACCGUAUAGGGGAGCCGGAGGGAAACCGAGUCUUAAUUGGGCGUUAAGUUGCAGGGUAUAGACCCGAAACCCGGUGAUCUAGCCAUGGGCAGGUUGAAGGUUGGGUAACACUAACUGGAGGACCGAACCGACUAAUGUUGAAAAAUUAGCGGAUGACCUGUGGCUGGGGGUGAAAGGCCAAUCAAACCGGGAGAUAGCUGGUUCUCCCCGAAAGCUAUUUAGGUAGCGCCUCGUGAAUUCAUCUCCGGGGGUAGAGCACUGUUUCGGCUAGGGGGCCAUCCCGGCUUACCAACCCGAUGCAAACUGCGAAUACCGGAGAAUGUUAUCACGGGAGACACACGGCGGGUGCUAACGUCCGUCGUGAAGAGGGAAACAACCCAGACCGCCAGCUAAGGUCCCAAAGUCAUGGUUAAGUGGGAAACGAUGUGGGAAGGCCCAGACAGCCAGGAUGUUGGCUUAGAAGCAGCCAUCAUUUAAAGAAAGCGUAAUAGCUCACUGGUCGAGUCGGCCUGCGCGGAAGAUGUAACGGGGCUAAACCAUGCACCGAAGCUGCGGCAGCGAACGUAUCACCCAAGACAACUUUACGGAGUUGACGAUUGACGGAGCGAAGCGACGUCAAAGCGUUCAUUAAAGUCGAGUUGGCUUAGGGAUACGUUCGUUGGGUAGGGGAGCGUUCUGUAAGCCUGUGAAGGUGUGUCGUGAGGCAUGCUGGAGGUAUCAGAAGUGCGAAUGCUGACAUAAGUAACGAUAAAGCGGGUGAAAAGCCCGCUCGCCGGAAGACCAAGGGUUCCUGUCCAACGUUAAUCGGGGCAGGGUGAGUCGACCCCUAAGGCGAGGCCGAAAGGCGUAGUCGAUGGGAAACGGGUUAAUAUUCCCGUACUUGGUGUUACUGCGAAGGGGGGACGGAGAAGGCUAUGUUGGCCGGGCGACGGUUGUCCCGGUUUAAGCGUGUAGGUGUGUGUUCCAGGUAAAUCCGGUUCACUUUAACACUGAGGCGUGACGACGAGGCACUACGGUGCUGAAGCAACAAAUGCCCUGCUUCCAGGAAAAGCCUCUAAGCAUCAGGUAACACGAAAUCGUACCCCAAACCGACACAGGUGGUCAGGUAGAGAAUACCAAGGCGCUUGAGAGAACUCGGGUGAAGGAACUAGGCAAAAUGGUGCCGUAACUUCGGGAGAAGGCACGCUGACAC